ACUCGAGUGGCGAACGGGUGAGUAACACGUGGGUGAUCUGCCCUGCACUUCGGGAUAAGCCUGGGAAACUGGGUCUAAUACCGGAUAGGACGAUGGUUUGGAUGCCAUUGUGGAAAGUUUUCGGUGUGGGAUGAGCUCGCGGCCUAUCAGCUUGUUGGUGGGGUAAUGGCCUACCAAGGCGGCGACGGGUAGCCGGCCUGAGAGGGUGGACGGCCACAUUGGGACUGAGAUACGGCCCAG
rnacentral:rRNA from 1 species